rnacentral:lncRNA from 1 species
GCGAACAGUGUCCAGAGUUUGUUCUUUUUUUCAUAGAGGGAGUUGUAGCCAUUGGGCAACCUGAUUGGUGGAACUGUAAGGGGCAGAGUGAGCCAUAGCCCCAUGGCAUUUGAAAUUCCAAGGUGUCGCCCUGAGGAUAUGAAAUGCUUCACACAGACCACUGCAUUUCAGAGGCCAAAGGACAUCUGAAAGAAUUAAAAUGAUGAGAAGGAGUUUAAAGGUGGAGCAGCUCAGGCUGAGGGGAAGCCCAUCCUUCAGAAUGAAGAGACAUCCCUGCCCAGGUGCCGUGGCCUGAAUGCACAAAGGGACAGGCACCCAAGAAGGCUCUGGUAGGGUCCGACCGCAGGGGCUUGGGAACCCACCAUCAUGGAGAUGCCCUCCUUUCAUAUGAGGCCAGGCUUCCACUCUAACACCUACAGAGAACUACAGGGUGUCAGAGGAGCAAAGGC